rnacentral:rRNA from 1 species
GAUGAACGCUGGCGGCGUGCCUAAUACAUGCAAGUCGAGCGAACGGACGAGAAGCUUGCUUCUCUGAUGUUAGCGGCGGACGGGUGAGUAACACGUGGAUAACCUACCUAUAAGACUGGGAUAACUUCGGGAAACCGGAGCUAAUACCGAAUAAUAUUUUGAACCGCAUGGUUCAAAAGUGAAAGACGGUCUUGCUGUCACUUAUAGAUGGAUCCGCGCUGCAUUAGCUAGUUGGUAAGGUAACGGCUUACCAAGGCAACGAUGCAUAGCCGACCUGAGAGGGUGAUCGGCCACACUGGAACUGAGACACGGUCCAGACUCCUACGGGAGGCAGCAGUAGGGAAUCUUCCGCAAUGGGCGAGAGCCUGACGGAGCAACGCCGCGUGAGUGAUGAAGGUCUUCGGAUCGUAAAACUCUGUUAUUAGGGAAGAACAUAUGUGUAAGUAACUGUGCACAUCUUGACGGUACCUAAUCAGAAAGCCACGGCUAACUACGUGCCAGCAGCCGCGGUAAUACGUAGGUGGCAAGCGUUAUCCGGAAUUAUUGGGCGUAAAGCGCGCGUAGGCGGUUUUUUAAGUCUGAUGUGAAAGCCCACGGCUCAACCGUGGAGGGUCAUUGGAAACUGGAAAACUUGAGUGCAGAAGAGGAAAGUGGAAUUCCAUGUGUAGCGGUGAAAUGCGCAGAGAUAUGGAGGAACACCAGUGGCGAAGGCGACUUUCUGGUCUGUAACGGACGCUGAUGUGCGAAAGCGUGGGGAUCAAACAGGAUUAGAUACCCUGGUAGUCCACGCCGUAACCGAUGAGUGCUAAGUGUUAGGGGGUUUCCGCCCCUUAGUGCUGCAGCUAACGCAUUAAGCACUCCGCCUGGGGAGUACGACCGCAAGGUUGAAACUCAAAGGAAUUGACGGGGACCCGCACAAGCGGUGGAGCAUGUGGUUUAAUUCGAAGCAACGCGAAGAACCUUACCAAAUCUUGACAUCCUUUGACAACUCUAGAGAUAGAGCCUUCCCCUUCGGGGGACAAAGUGACAGGUGGUGCAUGGUUGUCGUCAGCUCGUGUCGUGAGAUGUUGGGUUAAGUCCCGCAACGAGCGCAACCCUUAAGCUUAGUUGCCAUCAUUAAGUUGGGCACUCUAAGUUGACUGCCGGUGACAAACCGGAGGAAGGUGGGGAUGACGUCAAAUCAUCAUGCCCCUUAUGAUUUGGGCUACACACGUGCUACAAUGGACAAUACAAAGGGCAGCGAAACCGCGAGGUCAAGCAAAUCCCAUAAAGUUGUUCUCAGUUCGGAUUGUAGUCUGCAACUCGACUACAUGAAACUGGAAUCGCUAGUAAUCGUAGAUCAGCAUGCUACGGUGAAUACGUUCCCGGGUCU